ACGAAGGGUGCGAACGUUGCUCGGAAUCAUUGGGCGUAAAGCGCACGUAGGCGGCUUCGCAAGUCGGAUGUGAAAUCCCACGGCUUAACCGUGGAACUGCCUGCCAGACUGCAUGGCUUGAGACCAGGAGAGGUGAGUGGAAUUCCCAGUGUAGCGGUGAAAUGCAUAGAUAUUGGGAGGAACACCAGUGGCGAAGGCGGCUCACUGGACUGGUACUGACGCUGAGGCGCGAAAGCGUGGGGAGCAAACAGGA
rnacentral:rRNA from 1 species